CCUCCCUUCCUGGGCUGGUCCUUCUGUGCUAAGCUGGCCCGGGGCCAGGCUGCUCCCCGAGAGAUGUACAAGCCACUGGGGCUUGUGCUCAGUGACAUUCACAAAGAUUUAAAAAAAAAAAACUACCAGCUUUGUGGGGGACUGGGCUGACCUCCCACUUCCUGAAUUGAUCACGAUUUUCGCUUUCCAGACAUCCUCUUCCUGAAAUGGAUGAGUGUUCCACCCCACAGCAGCAAACAUUAUAUCGGGAGUACUGGGGGUAGAACCCAGAGACUUGAACACACUCAGUCAUCAAGCAGCACUUCAUUUAAAGACAAGAGUGAGUUGAAGCUGUUAUUUGUAACCUCAGCCAUGCCUCAGAACGAUGAGAAGAAUCAGAAGUGCUGACAGCUUGGGAUGCAAGCUAGUAUUGGAAGAGUUUAUAAAUGGUAACAUUGAACAUCCAGUGGCAGGUGAGUAGCAUUGGCAGAUGCCAAGGGGAGUAAGUGCAGGAAUCUGUCCCCAGGUAGGAGGCUCGUUGGCUGCCUUUCUCAAGCAUUAAGACUCUCUAGUGAUAGUGUACUGUGAGUGCCACUCACUGAAGUCCUAUAUCCAUACAAGGAGGCCAAACAAGAACCCUGUUGAAGGCUUUCCAGCAAAUUGGCAUCUUGGCCAGAUUGACAUAACAAGACAUGUCACCCAACAGCACUUGGGAAUAGGAACUGGAGUCAUGAUGGGCAGGAAAGGCCAACAGAUCCCAAGGGGUUGGAGAUUCAUCGGUGACUCUGAAGAAUCAUUUGGUCCAAUGGUUUUGUAGCUUCAUUGCCAGAUCUAAUAACCCCCUUUGAGGGCAGGACCCCAUCUCUACUCUGCAAACCUUUCCCCAGUCUAUGGUGUCAAUGAGCAUCAAGUUUUCAUUAAUAAAAAACAGAAGAAACCAUCAACUCUAUCAGAGGUUGCUGAAGAAAAGGUGACAUUCAGUGUAAGCAGCAUUGAGAAUCUGAACACUGGGCUAUUCCUGUCACCCUGGGGAGCCAGGCAACCUCCAGGUACCAAAUGUUCUCUUUUGGGGACUCCCAUUCAUCAGAUGGAUUUGCCAGAGCCAUGUGUUGGCAAAGCUAUUUUUUGAGGUAGUCAAUAGUAUCUUUAACCCUGGAAAUUCCAAUCCUAUUUCAUGUUUGAAAAGACUUUUUGGUAAUUAUUUUAAUGAAUGCUCAGAACUACUUGAUGAUGUGGACACAUUCCUCAAUUGCUUUGGGGGAAAUUUCAUGUAACCUGGUGCUUGAGUGUAGCAGUUCUAUACUUCUGUCAAUAGAAUGAUGUGGCCUCUCUGUGGGCACUCUUCACCAUGCUUAGCUUGAUGAACACAUGAGUAAUAAGCCAAUGCUUACAUUCCAGGACCCAAAGAGAUUUGAAUUCAAAAUGCAAAGCUUUUACCUUAAAGAAAUGAUUGAUUUGCCUGAGACUCUCCAUAUCUGUUUCUCUCAUUCUGUGCAUUUGUAGGUGUGUGUGUGUGUGUGUGCGCGAGUGUGUUUGUGAUUUGGCUUUCAAACAUACUCUGCACUUCAUAGAUUCUUCUAAUACUCAGGACGGCAUGCUAGAAAUAGUUAUACGUGGUCACUGAUGAUUUCCAGUAGGAUUUAUGAAAAGACAACUUGUAAAAUGGUAUGUGAAUAGAGGCAGGCCAUCGUAAAGGAGUAAAAUGGAUCAUAAAAAUUUUCUUACUUCAUUUACAUAAAACUGAAAGAAGAUUCUUUUCUGGUUUUAUCAUAAUGAAGAGACGUGUAAAAGGCUCAGUGUGGUAUUCUUCUGGGUUCAUUGAAAUAUUAUACUCCGGCACAUUUUAUAACAUCGAAUAAAAGAAUCUCUUCACUGCGGAUGUGAAUACAUUCAUGCCAUCUGUACCAGCAUGCAGACAUUCCGAGACGUGCUUGCUUAAGCAAUUUUAUUCACAUAUGAACAUUACACUGCAUCUUGCAGACCUAGGUCCUCUAGGUCAGUCGCUCAAUGUGGUUUCAUGAUAAGGUCUAGAGAUGUGUUUCAAGUGAAAUGGAUGAGGGUGCCACUGGUGGUAUCACAGGGCAGGCCACCUAAUAGUCUAUGGUAAGAGAAAAGAUAGCAAAUGUAUAAAACAGGGACAUAGCCAUUACCACUGUCAAGUCACUACAUAUUUCACAUAAUUAUGUUCUCUUUAUACAAUGGCUGAGACAAUUCACUUAUAACAUCAGCAUCAUCGCUAAUCCAUGAACGAUGUAGAAAUGUGACCUUAUGCAGG
rnacentral:lncRNA from 1 species